rnacentral:ncRNA from 1 species
AUAAUAGCAUUUAAGGAAGACAGUAUGUUUUAAUUGCUGAUUAGCGAUUUGGGGAUAGUGGGAGCUCAGACGAAACAAUUAAAACGGAACAUCACUUCUUAGCUAAAUUACUGAAAACGACUUCUAGUAGGUAAUUUCGUUUAACGCUAUGUUACAGCGUUCUAAGAGACACAAUUUUUGUGUAAAUUAGGGUGGUACCACGAGUUAUAGCUUCUCGUCCCUUUU